rnacentral:piRNA from 1 species
CAGAGACAGAAGACUCAAGAGCCAGCCUGC